UGCACACUCCCUUAGAUCUGCAUUCCGCGGCAUCCCUGGUGUUGGUAUUAUCUGGCUCCUUAUCGAUGCCAGAUUUUAAUCCCAUCAUUCGGGGCGGUGUUUCCCCUUUUCCCUUGAUGUGGUUUCUGGCACAUUUAUCUAUUUGUUCCAGUUAAAUCUCAUCGGGGAGGGGGAAUCCCGGCCGCAGCAACUUAGUUGUACUAUGGAAUGUUUUUGAGUCAUUAGUGUGCAAUAAUAACAUACCUGCUACUGCUGUAAUUGAUGGUGCUUCCUCCUAGCACUGGGUUCCUGUAUUAGCGGACAUU